rnacentral:lncRNA from 1 species
GCCCACUUCCCCAUACUUUGCUACUUGAACACUUUUCAUCAGCUGGCUCACUUCUGAGGUAAGUUAGGACAGGGGUGGGGAACCUCAGACCUGAGGCAGGGCCACAUGCAAUCCUUGUGUCAUCUCCGUCUGUCUCUUGUUUGAACCCCCUCUUCCUAGGCUGCACCUUUCAUUGCCCCCUGUCUUUUUGCCUGUCUGGAAUGUGCCCUUGAAUCCUUAUAAUGUCUCUGGCCUGUCUGGAUGGAGGAUACAGAAAGGUGCAUGAGUGUGUAUUGAAAUUAACUUACAUUGCAGACAUAAAAUUUACAUUGGUUUCUCUUAGCUCUUUUGCCUCUUACCCUUGCCCACCACUGGCAUGUGGCCCUCAGAAUGUUGUCCACAAAGGCAUGUGGCCCCCAGGCUGAAAUAGGUUCCCCACCCUAAGUUACAGUUAGUACGUAAGGUGGGGUGGCAGAUGGGGUUUCACUAUGUGCUCCAUUUAGUGAUACUGACCCUACUUUAUACACAAACCAGAAAUUGCAUGUUUAGUGAACUCAUGCAGGUGUGUUUUGACCUUGGGUGACAGAUAUUUGGGGCUGUCCAAAGUCUCUCUCACACACUCAUUCUUUAGCAGAACUUAAAAUCAGUGUAGGUAUGACUAGUCUCUGGGCCCAUUUCAUAAUAUUGACCACAGGAUCUCCCAACCCUAUACAAAGCACUGUUUUGGAACAAUAAUUUGUGAUGGUGUAUAUAAAAAACAAACACAAACCAAUUUAUGCAAAUGCCUCCCGAGAUGAUUUGGAAAUAAGUGCAUAGGACACCUUUUAAUGUUAAUAACAAGAUGCAGAAAUUAAACCCACGUGGGAUUGGGUUGAUGAAAAGCAAGAGGAAGUUGUCGGCAGAAGCGGGUGUGUAGCAUAUCCAAAUUUCACCUCAGUAAACAAAUUUUGCAGGGCUUUUUAUGUUUUUUUAGUUCAACCUGCCGGACAUGCUUGACUAGAAUUUGCAUUAGGAUAAAAGAAACAUGUAUGAACACUAAUAAUACUAAUGCUAAUGCUACUAAUAAUUUAUUUCUUAUAUCCCGCCCAUCUGACUGGGUUACCCCAGCCGCUUUCGGUGGCUUCCAACAAAAAUACAGGGGUACCCAAAACAGGGCUGCCUUCAGAUGUCACAUAGACAUCUGUGGACUCCUUCAAACCACUUCAAUCUGUUUCCAGACUGUGUGUCAGGGACAAGCUGGUUUUUGAGGUUGCAGGGGAGUACAUUUGUCUCCUGCUCCAUGUGGUAAUGAACAUGAUAUUAGAAUGCAUAUGCCUGUGGGGAGGGAGAAUGUCAUGCUAUUCUUAUUAGAUCAUUUCCCCCUGGAGCUGUAACAUGCAAAAGGUAAGGUCAGAAGUUGGAAUUAGUGCUGUGUCCAGCAAGUGAACUAAAAGCUCUCAUUUCCUUAGGGUUUGUGCUGUAUCUAUACGUAUAACUCUGCAGGAAGUCACGUGGCAUUCUGCUGGAGGGUUUUGGUGUCCUUUGUCUGUCCCCAAAACACACAGAAGUGUAGGAGUGUGAGAGAGAGGAUUUUUUAAUGCCACAAGGAUAAUGGUUGAGGCAUAUGAAUGCUAUCCAGAAGGAGAGUCCUUGAAUUGAACAAGUGCUCCCUUAGGUCUGUGCAAUGCCCUUCCACAAAUCAACUUAAUUUCAGGGCUGUUGUAGGUUUUUUGUUGUUUGUUUCAAUCUGCACAAAGACUUGAGGCUAAAAAUGAAUGAAGCUGCAAAGUCAUGUUCAGGACACAUUGGGCACUGGUGAUGGAACCAAGAAUAAAAAGCAAAUGACAAGUUCUGGAACUGUGGGGGGAGAGAAAGGAAAACCCUUAUGUUGGGGCAGAACAUUCCGUAAGGCAAUAUACUGUGAAGGAAUAAAAACAUGUGUUUGUGUGUGAUGUGACCAGAAAUCCUGACCUUCAGAAUGUCCCUGUUAACACAGAAAAUGGAACAGUUGUAAAGCACAAAGAAAUAUAAACAAGUUUGCCUGCACUUGAUUCACAAGCCUAGUUCUCUCAAAUAGCAGAUGAGGAAGUGAACCUGUUUCAUGACUGUAGCACUUCAGACUGCAGGUGGGGCCUGGCAUAAUUGAAUGCACUUCAAGCUAAAUGUCAGAGAGAGGAGUUCCAUCCUAACUUUUUACCUAAUACCGUAUUUUUCGCUCUAUAACACGCACCCGACCAUAACACGCAUGUAGUUUUUAGAGGAGGAAAAUCCGUAGGCAUGCCACCCGUAGGCAUUCCCUCCAUAACACGCACAGACAUUUCCCCUUACUUUCUAGGAGGAAAAAAGUGAGGGUUAUGGUGCAAAAAAUACGGUAGUUUUCUAUGUGUAGGGAAUGUUUAUGUACUGAGGUGUGUUCAAGCAUGUGAGACACCAUGUGAAACAGUACUGUCUAGUAUUAGGUUGUCCACUCUAUCUGUUCUUUGAGAGAACAGGUUCUAAUCUACUAUUGUGAUUUUGGGGCACAGGGGGUUAGACUUUAUGCCUGUGUCCCCUUCUAAUUCUUGGAUCCAGCAAGGAAUCAAUUGCUGGAAUAGCCAGGCCAGCUUUUUGGCAAGGUGAUGGCCCCUUAAGUAUGGGCCAUUCAGGUAACAAAUGAAGUGGCUCUGUGCCAGAGAACAAAUGGAUGAGCCCCUCUUCUUCACCUGGCAGUUGGUUGGAAGGACAAUUGUCAGAGGGGUGUGUGGCUGUGCAACACCUCUCCCAAAUGCGAGACCACAAAUUUCUUUAAAAUAUUGGAUUAAUCCAAAAUUAAAUGACCUUUAGGGCUGUCAAAACAGUUCUUUCAGAAUUCAACCAUCACCCCUUACAGGGCCAGUUAAUCCUAUCUGCUCCUUUGGUAGGUCACACAUAUUUCAAAUAUCAAAAACACCUGACACGCUGUUGAUAAACUGAAUAUUAACUAACAUUUUUCUUCCAGGGUGAAUUAAUCUAACCACUGAAUAAAUGGACUGAAAUCUUGACUAAUUAACGUUUUGUCAGUGUGACAGGAGAAACUAUGGAGCAUUUUAAGUUGUCUUACUGGGUUAGCUCAUGCAUGUAGCCCUGCCAGGGAAAUAUGUCAAUGUGAACAACCUCCAGCUUACUUGUAUUUGCCUGUAGGAAGUAGUGUGAGUGAAUCACAUGUAUGCCACAUGCCACAAUUGCAGCAGUCCUUUUUUGUAACUAGGCAAGACAUUCACAUGGAGGGGAUUUGGUGGCAGGGCUGCUCAUGGGUCAUGCAUAUCAUAGAAAUGUACCUGCUACUACCAGAAGUCUACAGGCCUUAACUGCAUUUGCUAGGAGCAGCAGCCACUUGAAUGAACGUUCCAUGGUUGUCCCUAGCAACCACUUGGGCCUAUAGACAUCCCUCUCGGCUAAAGCCUGUGGUAUUUAUGACUGUGAAAUUUCAUUAGGAACAUAGUUCACACUGUCCAUAGUUUCCUACUCAGGAUAUUUGGGGUCCCAUAGCAGGAAAUAGGAUGAAUGUAUCAAGUGAUUCAUGAUGCCUUUUGCUUAUAAACUUCCAUAGGCAAUUUGACAGUUCACUGUAUAUAAAUGUGGAAACAGAUGUUUUAGUUGCCAUCACAGAGAAUCUUCUCUCUGCUACUUUCUGAAUGGGAGCACAUUCCCAGUUCUUCACAUCUUUCUUUAACAUGCUGUUUGGAAUCUUUAUUGGUUUGAAAAAUUCAGAUAUGAUUGUAGCUCCCUAUUUUUGAAAAUUAAGCAAUCCUGUUAUGCUAAUUAAGGGUGAUGAGGUCUUGUUAUUUCUUGAUCAGUAAUGCACAGAGCAGCUUCUGAAGAUUUUAAGAGACUCAGUUCAGACAAACAGCGGCUGGAGUAUUAAAGCUGUAUCUCGGCUGUACCAUUUCAGAUUACAAGGAUGGGCAAACAUGAAUGAAUUCUUCCUCAUGAAAAACAUUUCUACACCUGGAUUAAUUAAUUUAUUUUUAUUGCUGUGGAAAGUGUUUUAAUUUGCUGGUUCAGUAUUUUUAUUGGCUGUUUUCUUGGGAGGGAUCUGAUGGCUUUAUGGUUGUACUGUCAAUAUUUUGCCAUUUUUAUUGUUGCAAGCCACCGUUGCCUGGAAAGUCCCCCUAUAAGUAUUUUGAGUUAAUAAACACAAACACACAUAAUGGAGAUGUCUCUGUGACAUCUUAGACAUGUGCAGGGACUUUUUAAUCUUUGAAGGAGCAAUCACUCAGGUGAACCGCCACCUGCAGCCUGGAGUCUUGACACAGGUUUGUGCUGUUUGUAUAGAUUAAACCUCACCCUUCUCUGUACUGCAGUUUUGUGCUUGAUUUGUGAGUGUCAAUUCUGAGACCCUCUUCCUUAGGGAUACAGGGUCAGGUACUAAAUUUGCUUCAUUUAUGUCUUGACAGAAGGAGGUCUGCCUGAGGCGGUAACUGUGAGCACUUCUGUGGCUGUGACUGUAGGUGGGAAGACGGCAAUCGCUGCAGGUAGGAACUUGUUUUAAUACACUUGAGGCAUAGGGUUGAGGUUAAGGAUAGGGAAACACUUCAUUUAGUAUGAAAUUGUCUCUUUUGCAAAGUGGUAGGUGACCCAUCACUUGUCACAGAAUUUAUUGUCUGAAAUCCGUCUAUUUAAAAUUAGGCCUUAGACAAAGUCACGUGUAUAGAGUUAUUGUCAUUUUUGUGUUUGGCAAAACAUCAUAUCUCUUUCUUGCCACUUUUUCUGCACAUGCCCACUCACCAAAAAAGUCUGCUAAUUUUCAGGACUAUAGAGUUCCUGCAAAUGCCCUAAAGGGGCAUACCUGGGAAAGCUGUACAGUUCUGUGGCAGAAGGACUGGGAAGCAGCCUCUAAAGCCUCACCUGUUUGCUUUUUCAGUUAAAGGUUCCGGGCUCACCCACACUUCCUUUCAUGUCACGCUUUCUAGGCACAGGUCUGAGAUUUUUAGGUCUGUGUUCAAGCAGUGUGUAGAUAGAUAGAUAGAUAGAUAGAAUCAAUCAGGGGUUUUUUUCAGCUGGAACUCUCUGGAACUCAGGUCUGGCACCUCUCAGGUGGGCUCCAUUGCCAUUGUAAGAGAACAAGGGAGGUGUUCAUGGUGAGUUCUGGCACCUAUUUUUCUAGAAAAAUAGCACUAGGUAGGUAGGUAGAUAGAUAGGCUCUCUGCUUUCCCUCGGAAAACCCACUGUUUACCACUCAAUCUGAACAAAUGGCAAUUGAGUUUUCCAUGAAUGAUCUCUACACCUUAUCAAAUGGGCAAUUUUCAGAACAAAAAUUGAAACCUAAGACUGUUCAGCUUAGCCAUGUUAAAAGCUCUCAGUGCUUGUGAAUCUGUGAUGGCUUAGUCUUUUAAGGAUGUACAAUGUGUAGUUUGGGGGCAUUCAUGUAACUUCUUCAUGUCCUUGAAGUAGUUUAACUGAUGUCUGAGGUUUUGUAAUGGUAGCAGUGAGUGGUGAGUUCAGGAGAGAAUUGAGUGGAGAGACAGGUGUUUUGGAGAGAAUGGAGAGUGAGCGCUGCGAGGUGGCUGGAGGAAAAGGUAUUGGCUGAUAGUGACAUUUCAGAAAAUUGCUAAAAGUCAAAUGAACAAUCGGUCAUAUGUUUUACUGGUUUGUUUUGUAUUUGUAGCAUUGAAAGAAGGGAGUUGCAUUGUGAGCAUAUGUGAUCUCAUGAUACUAACGCAGCCUUAGAUGCAUUUCUUUCUAAGAACUGAAGCACGGAGUUGAGGGAAGAAGGAAGCCAAAGGAUGUGAACAGAGACCUCUGGAGAAAUCUUACACCUUGCUUAGGACCAUGUAAAAAGUGGGCUAGAACCAGAUAUAGAAGCUUCAGGAUCUGGGUGGUCAAGAAGGGGCAGAGCAUUAAAUAUCAAUUUUUUAUUAGCAAUAAGCAGCCUAAUAUUUGCUUCUGGUUAUGUUCUGGACAGAAUAUAAAAGACAAAUAUGUCAUCUUUGCCUCUGUGUAUGUCCCUGAAUACUGAGUGUUUUUCUGUACUGCUAGCUCAAUGUAGGCUGUGGCCUUUUUUAGGUGGAAACCACAUGAAGGGAGCUUCUGCAGUCUAAACCAUAUAUUUCCC